rnacentral:rRNA from 1 species
GACGAACGCUGGCGGCGUGCUUAACACAUGCAAGUCGAACGGAAAGGCCUGCUUUCCCUUGUGGAUUGCGGGUACUCGAGUGGCGAACGGGUGAGUAACACGUGAGUGAUCUGCCCCCAACUUGGGUAUAAGCCUGGGAAACUGGGUCUAAUUCCCGAUAGGACUGCAGGGUGGUGCCCGUGGUGGAAAACGAUUUUCUAGUGGUUGGGGAUGAGCUCGCGGCCUAUCAGCUUGUUGGUGGGGUAAUGGCCUACCAAGGCGGCGACGGGUAGCCGGCCUGGGAGGGUGGACGGCCACAGUGGGACUGAGAUACGGCCCAGACUCCUACGGGAGGCAGCAGUGGGGAAUAUUGCACAAUGGGCGGAAGCCUGAUGCAGCGACGCCGCGUGGGGGAUGACGGCCUUCGGGUUGUAAACUCCUUUCGACCGCGAGGAAGCCACCUGGUUGGAAGGGUGGUGACGGUAGUGGUAGAAGAAGCACCGGCUAACUACGUG